AAAAUACUUGCAAUCAAGUGAUAUUGUGGGAAGCAUCAUAAUAUACAAAAAGGAUAUCAACUUAGCAAAAGGCAAGUGUCAUAUCAAUUCAAUCAUUUCCAUAUACAAUUACAGCAAGAAAACCUACAAACAAAAGGCAAAUGAAAGAUACAAAAGAGAUUUGAUUGCUCAUGCCACUCGUACACAUUCCGUUCCCCUGGUGAAAUGAAAAGCUCAAUGCACUGGAGAAAUAUGAUGAAAUCAAAAACAGGAUUAAGCACAAUGAACCUCGUGAUAACUAGCUAGCAACUCUGAAUUUGAGGAAUGAUGGCAGUUGAACUGAUCUUUUUUCGUUGUUCAUCUGCAGAAAGAAUCGAUAAAUAUAGUACAAUAGAAGAAUCUUUGCAGACUUUAAUUCCCAUAAACUUGCAUCACUCCUCAAUUUACUGCAUGAAGUUGCAGAUGCAAACUCAAAUCAUUAAUUUUCUUCACAUCUAGCUAGAGCCUUCAAUCCGAGCUUGAAUCGUAGAAGUCACUGGGACAUGGAGUCAUGACUUCAGAUUCGAGAAUCUGAACAACCCUGUGCAUUGUGGGCCUGUCGUCGGGGCUUGAAGAAACACACUGAGUGGCAACUGAAAGCAGGGAAUCAAGGCUUUCAGUCUGCACUCGUUCACAAAGCGGAUCAACUAUCUCUGUCCGUCUAUUCUCGGAUGCUAAAUAAUUCAGCCAGCCUACAAUAUUGAAGCCCUUCUCAAUAUAUGAUGCAUCAGUCGGCCGCUUCCCACUUAUGACUUCAAGAACCAGAACUCCAAAACUAUAAACAUCUGUCUUUUCUGUAGCCCUACCACUCUGCAUGUAUUCUGGAGCUAAAUACCCAAAUGUGCCAGCUACAAUUGUUGUGAUGUGAGACUCCUCAUCCCCGAGUAAUUUGGCCAGUCCAAAAUCAGAUACUCGAGCCUCAAAGUUUCCAUCAAGCAAAAUGUUGCUAGACUUUAUGUCACGGUGUAUUACUCGAGGUGAACAAUCGUGAUGUAAAUAUGCCAGCCCUUUUGCAGCUCCCAUGAUUACAGUCAGCCGUGCACCCCAGUCUAACUGCUCAGAUCUCUCGUGCAGAACUUCAUCUAGGCUACCUCCUGAUAAAAAGUCAUAUAUCAACAACUUUGAUGUCGGAGAAUUGCAAUAUCCUCGCAGAUUUACCAGAUACCGGUGCUUAAUACUUCCAAGAAUUUCAAGCUCCCUUUCGAAGAAUCUAUCGAAGCCUUCAUUCAUCUUGAUAAUUCUCUUCACGGCAAAUACAUUGCCAUCAUCCAUUGCAAGUUUGUAUACAGUUCCAAAGCCCCCAGAACCAAUAAUGUGCUCUUCAUUCAGAAUCUCCAGUUUUUUGAUGAUGUCCUUGGAAGAGUAGGGUAAAUCUCCAUGGAACAUCACAAUCGAUGCACCUGCACAAAUAUCCAUCGCAAGACUUUUGCCAUCAUUUUUACCCAGUCUCUUGUAGAGGAAACAGCCCCAGAAACACAUCAGUGCCACCAAAAGCAGUGCACCCACAGUGGCAGAUGCACUUAUAAGUAGUCGACCAUUCUUAUUUUGGCUUUGGGCUGAACCCGGGGACGGGGAUAUUGAAGGACCUCCAUUGUUACAGUCCUGACUAACUUGUUUGCCACACAAGUUACGAUUUCCAAGAAAGGAAUCAUUUCCAAACUUGGCAAGGUGUCCAUCUGAAGGUAUCUGCCCAACCAAGAAAUUUGUUGACACGUUGAAAAUGCCAAGAUUGUUCAGCUUGCCAAGGGAUGGUGGAAUGUUUCCACUGAGAGAGUUGCUUGAAAGAUCUAGAUUCUCAAGCUCAGGAAGGUUUCCCAACUCAUCAGGAAUCCAUCCGCUUAAAUAAUUACUCUGAAGAAACAGAGAUUUCAGGUUUGUACAAUUUCCCAAUGCAGGAGGUAUUGCCCCAUAGAAAUUAUUGUCAUGAAGAGCCAGAAACUGCAACUGGUCUAGCUUCCCAAUAUCUGGUGAUAUAUAUCCACUCAGUUUGUGAUUAGGGAGGCUUAAAGAUGUAACUCUCUUUGAUUUUGAGUCACAUUGUACCCCUUUCCAGCCACAUGGGUCAGAAUCUUCUGGUCUCCACUGCUCAAGAACACCAUCGGAACCAGAUAUUGCAAUCCUAAAAUUGACAAGCGCUUGACCAUCAGGAUUGAGUGCUAGUGUAAGUCUUGGGAAAAUGCAAAGCAACAGCACGCUUAAAAACAACAAAUCCUGAAUUUUCGAAGAGAAGUCGCCCAUCUUGGCGUUGAUCAAGCAUAAUAAGGCUACUGAAGAACAUCAGGCGGACUACGCUGUGCUACGGUUCCCUUGGACAUACAGUAAACAGGAUGUGACACCACAAAACCAGCAAUGGAAAAGAGAAUGAUCCCUGAAAAUGCUAGAUUCGAUCUGCAAGUGAGUACCCAAAGUUCAUUUCA
rnacentral:misc_RNA from 1 species